AUCCUUUUGGAAGGAACCAAGGACAAGGCAGCUUUCGGGUGGUAAUUGAAGUAAAACACAGCACUACCGGCAAAAAAUGGCCCAUCAAAAAAGUUAACAGGAAAACGGUGCAUGGUGUGUUUGGAUAGGUCAGAUCUCAUUAAUUGCUGCACUAGAGUCGGUAGACUGAAAAACAAAAGAACCAUCUCUGUUCCAUGAGAUAUGUGGGGUUAUGGAAUGGUGCCGUGUUCAGAGCCUUGUUUCUUCUGUGUACUCAUUGGAAGGGCAAAAACUUCUGCUGGUUUUGGAUAUGAAAAUGAACUGCAGAUAU